rnacentral:rRNA from 1 species
GAUGAACGCUGGCGGCGUGCCUAAUACAUGCAAGUCGAGCGAACAGACGAGGAGCUUGCUCCUCUGACGUUAGCGGCGGACGGGUGAGUAACACGUGGAUAACCUACCUAUAAGACUGGGAUAACUUCGGGAAACCGGAGCUAAUACCGGAUAAUAUAUUGAACCGCAUGGUUCAAUAGUGAAAGACGGUUUUGCUGUCACUUAUAGAUGGAUCCGCGCCGCAUUAGCUAGUUGGUAAGGUAACGGCUUACCAAGGCAACGAUGCGUAGCCGACCUGAGAGGGUGAUCGGCCACACUGGAACUGAGACACGGUCCAGACUCCUACGGGAGGCAGCAGGAGGGAAUCUUCCGCAAGGGGCGAAAGCUUGACGGAGCAACGCGGCGUGAGUGAUGAAGGUCUUCGGAUCGUAAAACUCUGUUAUUAGGGAAGAACAAAUGUGUAAGUAACUAUGAACGUCUUGACGGUACCUAAUCAGAAAGCCACGGCUAACUAC